UACGGAGGGUGCAAGCGUUAUCCGGAUUCACUGGGCUUAAAGGGUGCGUAGGCGGCUUAUUAAGUCAUUGGUGAAAGCUCGCAGCUCAACUGCGAAACUGCCAUUGAAACUGUUUAGCUUGAAUGUGGUUGAAGUGGGCGGAAUACAACAUGUAGCGGUGAAAUGCUUAGAUAUGUUUUAGAACACCGAUUGCAAAGGCAGCUCACUAAGCCAAUAUUGACGCUGAGGCACGAAAGCGUGGGUAGCAAACAGG
rnacentral:rRNA from 1 species